AGAGUUUGAUCCUGGCUCAGGACGAACGCUGGCGGAAUGGAUUAGGCAUGCAAGUCGUACGAGAUUUAUACUUUCGGGUAUAUUGAGAGUGGCAAACGGGUGAGUAACGCGUGGGUAUCUGCCUUUAAGCGGGGGAUAACUCAGGGAAACUUGAGCUAAUACCGCAUGUGGCAUUAAUGUUAAAGGUGGCCUCUAUUUAUAAGCUACCGCUUAGAGAUGAGCCUGCGUACUAUUAGCUAGUUGGUGGGGUAAUGGCCUACCAAGGCAAUGAUAGUUAGGCGGCCUUAACGGGUGGUCGCCCACACUGGGAUUGAGAUACGGCCCAGACUCCUACGGGAGGCAGCAGUCGAGAAUAGUCUACAAUGGACGAAAGUCUGAUAGUGCAAUUCCGCGUGGAUGAAGAAGCAUUUCGGUGUGUAAAAUCCUUUUCUUUGUGAGCAAAGAUUUGAAGGUGAAUAAUUUUUAAAUUAAGAUAUUAGCAAAGGAAUAAGCCUCGGCUAACUCCGUGCCAGCAGCCGCGGUAAUACGGGGGAGGCAAGCGUUGUCCGGAAUCACUAGGCGUAAAGGGCAAGUAGGCGGAUUGGUAAGUUACGGGUUAAAUCUGGAGGCUCAACCUCCAGCCAGCUUGUGAUACUGCCCAUCUAGAGUCAGACAGGGGAAGACGGAAUUCCCGGUGUAGCGGUGGAAUGCGCAGAUAUCGGGAGGAACACUCAUGGCGAAGGCAGUUUUCUGGGUCAUGACUGACGCUCAAUUGCGAAGGUGUGGGUAUCAAACAGGAUUAGAUACCCUGGUAGUCCACACAGUAAACGAUAAACACUAGGUGUUGGUGGAGAUAAUCCAUCGGUGCCGUAGCUAACGCGUUAAGUGUUUCGCCUGGGGAGUACGAUCGCAAGAUUGAAACUCAAAGGAAUUGACGGGGACCCGCACAAGCGGUGGAGCAUGUGGUUUAAUUCGAAGCAACGCGAAGAACCUUA
rnacentral:rRNA from 1 species